rnacentral:rRNA from 1 species
UGGGGAAUCUUAGACAAUGGGCGCAAGCCUGAUCUAGCCAUGCCGCGUGGAUGAAGAAGGCCUUAGGGUCGUAAAGUCCUUUCGCCGGGGAAGAUAAUGACGGUACCCGGUAAAGAAACCCCGGCUAACUCCGUGCCAGCAGCCGCGGUAAUACGGAGGGGGUUAGCGUUGUUCGGAAUUACUGGGCGUAAAGCGCGCGUAGGCGGAUCGGAAAGUCGGGGGUGAAAUCCCGGGGCUCAACCCCGGAAUUGCCUUCGAAACUCCCGGUCUUGAGUUCGAGAGAGGUGAGUGGAAUUCCGAGUGUAGAGGUGAAAUUCGUAGAUAUUCGGAGGAACACCAGUGGCGAAGGCGGCUCACUGGCUCGAUACUGACGCUGAGGUGCGAAAGCGUGGGGAGCAAACAGG